rnacentral:lncRNA from 1 species
AUCGUCUUUGCUUGCCUUUUAAUCAUCUAUAACAAUUCUUAAAAUUCGGAAAAAAAAAAAACAUAACAGUUUUAGUUCCAAAAUGGUUCACUAUGUAAAAUGCGAACAUUCCUGUACUAGUUCGAUCAUUAGCGUGCGAACUGUAGCAGUGAAACAUGUUUAACGUAAUUGAAAUGAAAAGCUUUACAAAUCAAACGUAGAAGGUUUUAGAGUCACAUUACCUUUGCAUUCAAAUCAAUGUGAUCUUUGUGGAGCUCCUUGAUCUUUGUGGCCGCUUUUUGGAGGGUCUAGAGUGAAGAAAAAUAUUGGUGAAGGUGUGUACUGUUUAUGUCUGAAGGUUCAUGCAUAUAUAUAGACACAAUUCGCUAUAUAUGUAAAAUGCGAACAUCUGAGAUGAG